rnacentral:misc_RNA from 1 species
GUAAAGUUUGGGAUUGGUUUUGGGCGAUGAGGGCAGUGAUGUUAAACGACUUACCCAAGUUAGGCGAAACGGCAACGGCUUUUUGUGGGGCGGAAGAAAAGAAGAUGAGUUGCUGGUAGCCAUUGGAAGACCAGUGCCUCCCCAAGUAAAAGAAGGUGAUGGAGAUUAAAACGAAGGCUGUGAUCCUGAGAACCAGAGGGGUUUUGAAGAGAUCCACAUUGGUGAGAGCUUUCAUGGCGGCAAAAGAGAAGCUAAAGCUACCAUACAAGUAAGAUCUUGGAUCCGUGAACUUAUGGGUUGUUAAUGGAGGAUUAUGGGUGCGAGAAUAAGUGAUUACGAGUUGUUACUUGGGUUUUAGAGCCAUCUUGGGAAAUGGGAAGCUUGCAGAAUUUGAGCAAGAGAUGGCUUGGAUUGAGGAGGAGCUGCCGCUGCUAGGUUGAUGAUCCCUUGAAGCAACUGGUUAUAAAGUCGAGAGGUUAUAAGCGUUACUUUUG